rnacentral:rRNA from 1 species
GACGAACGCUGGCGGCGUGCUUAACACAUGCAAGUCACGGGGGCCCGCAAGGGCAACCGGCGAACGGGUGCGUAACACGUGAGCAAUCUGCCGAUUUCUGGGGGAUAGCCGGCCCAACGGCCGGGUAAUACCGCAUACGCUCACUGCGAGGAGUCUCGUGGUGAGGAAACCUCCGGGGGUAAUCGAGGAGCUCGCGGCCUAUCAGCUAGUUGGCGAGGUAACGGCUCACCAAGGCGACGACGGGUAGCUGGUCUGAGAGGAUGGCCAGCCACAUUGGGACUGAGAGACGGCCCAGACUCCUACGGGAGGCAGCAGUGGGGAAUCUUGCGCAAUGGCCGAAAGGCUGACGCAGCGACGCCGCGUGGAGGAUGAAGGCUUUCGGGUCGUAAACUCCUGUUGCCCGGGACGAACCUCCCCUUUCGAGGGGACUGACGGUACCGGGUGAGGAAGCACCGGCUAACUCUGUGCCAGCAGCCGCCGUAAGAC